rnacentral:rRNA from 1 species
GGGCACGACACCGGAGAGGGAGCCUGAGGAACGGCUACCACANCNNNNNAUGGCAGCAGGCGCGCAAAUUACCCAAUCCCGANANGGGGAGGUAGUGACAAUAAAUAACAAUACGGGGUUCUUUAGGAUCUCGUAAUUGGAAUGAGUACAAUUUAAAUCUCUUAACGAGGAACAAUUGGAGGGCAAGUCUGGUGCCAGCAGCCGCGGUAAUUCCAGCUCCAAUAGCGUAUAUUAAAGUUGUUGCAGUUAAAAAGCUCGUAGUUGAAUUUCGGGGUUAGUAGGUUGGUCAUGCCUCUGGUAUGUACUGGUCUCACUGAUUCCUCCUUCCUUAUGAACCGUAAUGCCAUUAAUUUGGUGUUGCGGGGAAUUUGGACUGUUACUUUGAAAAAAUUAGAGUGUUUAAAGCAAGCUAACGCUUGAAUACAUUAGCAUGGAAUAAUGAAAUAGGACGUUCGAUCUUAUUUUGUUGGUUUCUAGGAUUGACGUAAUGAUUAAUAGGGAUAGUUGGGGGCAUUAGUAUUCAAUUGUCAGAGGUGAAAUUCUUGGAUUUAUUGAAGACUAACUACUGCGAAAGCAUUUGCCAAGGAUGUUUUCAUUAAUCAAGAACGAAAGUUAGGGGAUCGAAGACGAUCAGAUACCGUCGUAGUCUUAACCAUAAACUAUGCCGACUAGGGAUCGGAUGAUGUUAAUUUUUUAAUGACUCAUUCGGCGCCUUACGGGAAACCAAAGUGUUU